rnacentral:lncRNA from 1 species
AUUAACACAAUUUAUAAAAUAAUAGACUAACCUAAUUCUUCAUGAACUAGAUUUUGCACGUGAUCGAGAUUCAACAUGACACCAAUUCCACCUGCACUGCUACCAGCAAGUAGCAAGGAGCUUGCAUUCUCAAGGCCAAGUGGUAGCAAAUCUCGGACAACCUGCGAGACGAUCUCAGCUCCCAUAAAGGAGAACAUAUCGUUUGGCGAGCUUCUCGUACCACUCCAGCUGUCGCUGGUACAAUAUGAUAGGUACGCAAGGUUAUCGCGAUGGACAAUACCUACACGUGAUUCGCGUUCCACCAGAAUGGAUUCUCUUCCGGAUUUCCUGAUAACAAUCCACCAACUGAAAUAAUUGGAUGACACACAUAAAAUAACGACUAAAUUAAAACUACAUAUUUGUUAAAUUCAAUCAAAA